UUCAACCGUGACGUGGAGGGACCUUCUCUCUCUCUCUCUCUCUCUCUCUCUCUCUCUCUCUCACACACACACACACAAUUUAUUUUCUUCUAGAUAUUUUAUUAGCUAAUCUUUGUUUCUAUUCAUGUCUAAGAAAAACAGUUGAAUUCAACUGAGCAACUCAACUGUUCACUAACUUAAAAUUUUUGCUACACAGGUUAACAGACUCUUACAUAGUAUGUUUAUUUAAAAGAAAUCCCACUGAUUAACAAGCUGUCUAAACAUAUACCAAGCCCCACUUUCUUUCCCUAACAUGGGGAGACGUUUUAUCUAAUUUUUUAGAAGUAAAUGUGUUUGCUUUUAUAUCUUUCUGCAGCAAAUUUCCUCAGGGGAUCUACAGUUCCUGUCUCCAGGAUUCAUGUCACUGCUUAGAGAAAAUAUCACUACGAAUCACAAGGUAUGUUUUAUAUUAAGCUCAGUCUGUAUGUUAUAUUACUUCAGUCCUUAUAUCACCAUAUUACAAUCCACUCUGUUUUCAGUUAAUAUUCUAUGUAUUAGAAGCAACAGCUACCUAAAGUGGCCUGGGAUCAUGUGACAGUGGGGUAUGAAGACAAGAGCCUCAGGUUCAAACCUUUCCUCAGCCAUGGGACUCACUGUGUGACCUUGGACAAGGCACCACUGUGAAGAUAAAUGAGAUAAGAACUGUAGAGCACAUUUUGUACAUUUUGAAAAGUGUUUUAGAAAUGCUAAUUUUUCAAAGGUCAUCCUUGUUAAAUUAGACCUUGUCAACUUGCGAUAACAAAGUUGUUUACUGUAUUUGUUGUUCUCCUAGAGUAUCCCACACAAAGUGACAGGACAUCCCUUUGCUUCAAUAGAAGAGAGAAAUUAACACCAUUCCCUCGUUUGCUUCCUCUUUCUUGAGUGGCAGGAGUUUUCACCUCCCUUUCUGGAAUAAGAAUUCCACCUUCUUGUGCAUAGUUCAACUACUUGUUAGAUCAGCAAACACAUUCCCAACCUUAUAUUUGUCAAGUUGCGCAGGUACAUCCAAAUCCCUGCUUAUAACUGAUGGAAAGGAAUGAAAAUAGAACAAGAUUCAACAGGGGAAGAAAUACAAACAUACAUUAAAAUCAAACAACCAAGAGGAUAUGGAAAAUGAAAUGAAAACAGAAAAGGAUUUUUAACAUGAGGGGAACACCUGAUGUACAAAUUGACUGAAACACCAGGCAUGUGUGGAGGUGCACAUUCUGCCAUUUGUGGUCUCUCUUGAAAAGGAUUUCCCUGAUUUUUAACAUAACCAGCAAACAAAUAAGCCCCAUCUCACAGCAGGAGAGAGCCACUGCUCCAUUAGAUCAUUAAGGACUCCUAUUCAGGCAAUCCCUGUCCUUGGCCCAGUCAUAGAGAACGAAGGCAAAUGUGUUUUCGUACAGUACAGCUUGAAAUGUCACAGCAGGAUGAAAGUUGUGGAACAGACAGCAGAAAGGAAAAGAUGUGGUGCUACAUGAGGGGUAGUGUUCCAACAAUGAAAGGCUGGUGUUUCAGUCUGCCAAACAACGUAAUGACUCAUCCAGGCAGAAAAAUAUUACCACCAUGGGAAUACUUGGAACGUCUCAGUUUGAGAGUAAUUAGGGACUAAACUACACUGGCAUGCUUCAGUGAUGAAAUGAGAAAAUAAGCAAUACCUCUGUCAAGUUCUGAUUGGGGAAUAUUAAAUGAAUAUGAACUUCGAUCAUCUCUGACCACAAACUAAGAACGAGCAGCAAUUUGCAAGAAUUUCUGCCCCCAUACAAACUAUAGUGUCACACAAAAUGUGGAAUCCACCCCCCGCUGCAAUUUUUAAAAAAACCUUUUGUUUAUCAUUAUAGCUGGGGUUGUAUAUGCAGUAUACCCCAAAUUGAGUAAAGGGGGCAAGGAUGGUAUUUCAUUCCUUUUAACUAUAAAUAAUAAAAAGCAUAAAAUGUAAUCAACCUGGAUGGAUUGC